rnacentral:rRNA from 1 species
CUGGUUGAUCCUGCCGGACCUGACUGCUAUCGGAUUGAUACUAAGCCAUGCGAGUCUUUGUAGCAAUACAAGGCAGACGGCUCAGUAACACGUAGUCAAUCUAACCUAUGGACGAGGAUAACCUCGGGAAACUGAGAAUAAUACUCGAUAGACCAUAAUGCCUGGAACGGCUUAUGGUUCAAAUGAAUUUCGCCAUAGGGUGGGACUGCGGUCUAUCAGCUUGUUGGUGGGGUAAUGGCCCACCAAGGCUAUAACAGAUACGGGCUCUGAGAGGAGAAGCCCGGAGAUGGGUACUGAGACACGGACCCAGGCCCUAUGGGGCGCAGCAGGCGAGAAAACUUUGCAAUGUGCGAAAGCACGACAAGGUUAAUCCGAGUGGUUCCUGCUAAAGGAACCUUUUGUCAGUUAUAAUAUCACUAAUGAAUAAGGGGUGGGCAAGUUCUGGUGUCAGCCGCCGCGGUAAAACCAGCACCUCAAGUGGUCAGGAGGAUUAUUGGGCCUAAAGCAUCCGUAGCCGGCUCUGUUAGUUUUCGGUUAAAUCUAUACGCUCAACGUAUGGGCUGCCGGGAAUACUGCAAAGCUAGGAAGUGGGAGAGGUAGACGGUACUCCGUAGGAAGGGGUAAAAUCCUUUGAUCUAUGGAUGACCACCUGUGGCGAAGGCGGUCUACCAGAACACGUUUGACGGUGAGGGAUGAAAGCUGGGGGAGCAAACCGGAUUAGAUACCCGGGUAGUCCCAGCUGUAAACUAUGCAAACUCAGUGAUGCAUUGGCUUGUGGCCAGUGCAGUGCCGCAGGGAAGCCGUUAAGUUUGCCGCCUGGGAAGUACGUACGCAAGUAUGAAACUUAAAGGAAUUGGCGGGGGAGCACCACAAGGGGUGAAGCCUGCGGUUCAAUUGGAGUCAACGCCGG